rnacentral:rRNA from 1 species
GAUGAACGCUGGCGGCAUGCCUAACACAUGCAAGUCGAACGGAGAUAUUUGGGAGCUUGCUCCUGGAUAUCUUAGUGGCGGACGGGCGAGUAACGCGUGAGCAAUCUGCCCUUCAGUGGGGAACAACGUCUGGAAACGGGCGCUAAUACCGCAUAAAGUAUUGAGAUCGCAUGGUCAUGAUACCAAAGGAGCAAUUCGCUGAAGGAUGAGCUCGCGUCCGAUUAGUUAGUUGGUGGGGUAACGGCCUACCAAGACGACGAUCGGUAGCCGAACUGAGAGGUUGAUCGGCCGCAUUGGGACUGAGACACGGCCCAG